CCUACGGGUGGCAGCAGUGGGGAAUAUUGGUCAAUGGACGAAAGCCUGAACCAGCCAAGUAGCGUGAAGGAUGAAGGCCCUAUGGGUGGUAAACUUCUUUUACAUGGGAAUAAAAUGUUCCACGUGUGGGAUUUUGUAUGUACCAUAUGAAUAAGGAUCGGCUAACUCCGUGCCAGCAGCCGCGGUAAUACGGAGGGUCCGAGCGUUAUCCGGAUUUAUUGGGCUUAAAGGGAGCGUAGGUGGGUUGUUAAGUCAAUUGUGAAAGUUUGCGGCUCAACCGGACAAUUGAAGUUGAAACUGGCAGUCUUGAGUACAGUAGAGGUGGGCGGAAUUCGUGGUGUAGCGGUGAAAUGCUUAGAUAUCACGAAGAACUCCGAUUGCGAAGGCAGCUUACUGGACUGCAACUGACACUGAGGCUCGAAAGUGUGGGUAUCAAACAGGAUUAGAUACCCCUGUAGUC
rnacentral:rRNA from 1 species